GACACCGAGUAAUCAAGAGGUUAGUUUGGAGCUGCAGCCAGCAUGUUGUGUCUACGAAUACAGCUCUGUAUUCUACUUUUGUUGUCAGGACUAAGUACCGAGAAGAACAGUGUGACCCAAAGACAAGGACAGCUGACUGGGGUACAAAGUGACUCUGUCACACUGGCCUGUACUUUCUCGACUGAAGAUGCAGGUUAUGACAUAUACUGGUACAAACAGGGCAGCAGCGGCCAGACGAAGUACCUCUUCCGAAGGGUCCUGUAUUCACCCAUCGUUGUGGUGACUUUCGCCCCUGAAGAUCUAGAAACAACAUAUUUAACCAUGAAGGCUCCAGAAAUCCUGUUUUGGACAGCAACAGCAUUUCUAUCUUUGAGUGCGGUGGUGGGUGACUCGAUCCAGUCCAAUGAACCCGAGGUGUCCAGGUCAGAAGGAGACACCGUGACCCUCAGCUGUUCCUACGAUACCAGCUACACUGGGGCUGUCUAUCUCUACUGGUACCGUCAGUAUCCGAACCGAGCCCUGCAGUACAUCCUCCGGAGAGGAGCAAAAGGAAGCACGUUCAGUGAUACCGCAGGUUUCGCCCAGGAGAGGUUUUCUUCCCAGACUGAUGACAGCUCCACAGUUCUGAACAUCACAGCCCCGGAGCUGGCAGACACAGCGGUGUAUCUCUGCGCCCUGCAGAGAGCACAGUGACAG